rnacentral:lncRNA from 1 species
GAUAAGCCAUUUACCUACCAAUUAGCUACCAGCUUAAAUCCAGCUACCACGCCCUCAUUUGUUAAUGUGAAGUAUAUUUGCUUCCUGGAAUCAAUUACAUUUAUUCUUGGCUAGACAUCUUCCCAUCUCUUCUCUCUUAUUCUUUGAUCAUCAUCACUCUCUCUUUCGUGUUUAAAGAGUAAAAGCUCCAAUUACCUCUUAAUUUUAGUUCACGAAGCAUUUGGUAUUUUGGGUGGCUUCGAUUUGUUGGGUUAUCUUGGCUGCCUCGGUGGUGGGCUUGGGUUGGCUUGAGCCUUCUUUGUGGAUGGGUUUUUGUUAUUUGGGCUUGGAGGUGGUGGCUUCUUGGAUUGGUUUGGGUGGCGGCUCAUGGUGAGAGGUUUUGCAGUCUUUUUUUAUGGCUGGAUGCUUUGUGGACCAUGUUUGGGAGCUACUUCUCUCGGCUGGGUUUCUUUCCUUUCUGGGCUCGCUGCCUUGGGCGGGCUUCUUCUGUUCAUGUCCUUUUCUUUUUUUUCAUGGCUCUCUGUUUUUUCUUUAUUUGGUUGGCUUGGUCUUCUUGGCGUGUUUUUUUCACUCGAACCUUCGCCUGAGCCAUUUCAUGGUCGGCUUCUCUCCACAAUGAUAUAGAGCAUUCAAAUAAAUCCUUGGACAGAUGGAUAUUGAGUUGUUUGUUUUUUUCAGAUGGGGUUAUGAAAAUGCAUAUGGAUGUUAUGAUUAUUUUUUUUACCAGAAAAAACAUUAACAAUGUUCAGAUAUUUUUUUUACAUUAAAGAAUAGUAUGCACCAAUGAUGUAUCAUAGCUAAGGUGGUAUUAAAGCUCGGGCAGGCCAAAAUUAAAAUGAUAACAGACAUAGAUAUUGAAUAGAAAAUGUGAGUCUAGAAUAAAGUUAUUCACCCAGCAACUUGGUAUAGUUUAUGUACUAGAUCUAUGCCGGGCCGAAUCAUUUCUUUAUUUUAGUAUAAAAAAACGAUGUUCAAAGCAUAAGUGAAUUCUAAAGAAAGAAGAAAUAUCCGUUGUUUGGAUGAAGACCCGAUUGGGUCAAAUAGAUUAAUUUUAUUUUAAUUAAAUGAUAAUAAAAUAGAUAAUGAUAUCAAAUCGAUUAAAUAAAAAAAAGAUUACAAUAACCUAGAAAAAAAUUAUUUUUCAAAAGAAAAAAAAUGAUGUAGCUCAAUUCUCAGUCACAUGAAUACUGAAGGAUAAAAUUGGGUUAAAAAAGACAAACAAACCGACCCGAGUUAACUCAAGCUGGCAUGACAAACAUGUAACUCGAGUAAUAAGGGUAGGAUAAUUCAAUAGAAAACAAAUUGAGAAAAUCAAAAGUAGAAUGAUGAAACAAAAAUAAAUCAACUAACAAAAUGAUCUAAAAUAAAUAAAUGAAAACCAAGCAAGACGAUCAAACCCCGCGACCUCGAUAAUGCUAAUGGGAUAACAAAAAAAGCUAAAAUUAAAAAAACAAUGAGGAUUAAUUUAAAAAAGAACCAAAGUUUGAAGGAAAUUUUGAAAAAAGAAAUUUUUUUUUUUUUAAAAGCAACCCCCCAUAAAAAGGCUCAAGUCAUUAUGGGUUAAUUUGCCAAAUCUAUAGCAUUGAUUAUGAGAUCAAGAUAACCCGAUAGAAAUAAAAAUAAAGAAAAUUACAUAACUCAUUUAAAACAAAUCAUUGUCAAAUGAUGACAUCAAAAAAGAAAAUGUCUAAAAAACGAGAGAGAAAAUACGUAAACCCGUUUAAACUUUUAAAACAUGUGACCUGGGUCAUUAGACCAAAAACACCCCAUUCAAA